CCUACGGGGGGCUGCAGUGAGGAAUAUUGCUCAAUGGGCGCAAGCCUGAAGCAGCGACGCCGCGUGGGCGAUGAAGGUCUUCGGAUCGUAAAGCCCUUUUCUGCGUGACGAGGAAGGACGGUAGCGCAGGAAUAAGUGUCGGCUAACUACGUGCCAGCAGCCGCGGUAAAACGUAGGACGCAAACGUUAUCCGGAAUUACUGGGCGUAAAGAGCGUGUAGGCGGGUGAGUAAGUUGUCCGUGAAAGCUCCCGGCUAAACUGGGAGAGGUCGGAUA
rnacentral:rRNA from 1 species